CAGUUAUUAGGUUGGUGCAAAAGUAAUUGCGGUUUUUGCCAUGACUUUCAGUGGCAAAGCCACAGUUACUUUUGCACCAACUCAAUACUU
rnacentral:miRNA from 10 species